UAGUUCCUACGGGGGGCAGCAGUGGGGGAUAUUGCACAAUGGGGGAAACCCUGAUGCAGCGACGCCGCGUGGGCGAAGAAGUAUUUCGGUAUGUAAAGCCCUAUCAGCAGGGAAGAAGAAAUGACGGUACCUGAGUAAAAAGCACCGGCUAAAUACGUGCCAGCAGCCGCGGUAAUACGUAUGGAGCAAGCGUUAUCCGGAUUUACUGGGUGUAAAGGGCGCGCAGGCGGCACGGCAAGCCUGAUGCGAAAGCCCGUGGCCCAACCGAGGGACUGCAUUGGGAACUACCGGGCUGGAGUGCCGGG
rnacentral:rRNA from 1 species